rnacentral:rRNA from 16 species
GGAUGCGAUCAUAACAGCACUAAAGCACCGGAUCCCAUUAGAACUCCGAAGUUAAGCGUGCUUGGGCGAGAGUAGAACUAGGAUGGGUGACCUCCUGGGAAGUCCUCAUGUUGCAUUCC